CCGAUUCUUCUCGAUAUAACACAUCUCCUGGUAUUCCCAUUAGUCAAAGUACAUACACGUUGAUGAAUCUCAGUCCAUACACAACACACUUUAUAUACAUGUCAGUUACAAACAAUGCCAACUCAGAAAGUAUGCGCAGCAAUACCGUUCAAGUGCGAACUCUUCGAUCUUCCAUACUUAAACCAGAUGCAACACCUUUAGCUGGUGGCACAACACUGUCAAAGACAACUAUAACAACACUGUCAAAGACAACUAUAGCAACACCCUCAAGGACAACAUUGAUAACAUUGGUACCUUCAGUGUUGACGACUGUGUCUGCAGAGUAAGUCAUCAUCCAAUUCCGUGAUCACAGCAGUUGCUGUUACACUAGGCUUAAGUGUCAUCAUUCUUAUUCUAAUCGUAUUUUUUGUAGUUUUGAGGAAAAAUGAUUGGUGCACUAAAUCUCCACCUAGAGAUGAUAGCAGGAAUAUCAAUUCUACAGACACAUCUGAAACAGGUGGAAGUUUGAAUUUAAACAACACGACAAGGAAUUUCUCAUGUCCUAAUGCAGGUGCAGGAAACCAUGAUAAACAAAAUGACUAUGAAGUCAUGAAGUGACUAUGUGAAAACCGUUUUGGUCUCACCAACGUAGUACAAGAAACGACUUUCUGGCAAUGAUUUGUGACUUCUUUUAAGGCCUAAAAUACAUUUGUUAGUGCUUGUGGUUUGAUCGACUCUGUUUGUCAUGGUGACUAUUGUUGCCUUGUUUGUAGCUAGUUUGUAUGAAGGCCUAUGGUUAGCUAAAAGUGAACCUUGUAUUGUGUGGGACUAUUCUGCUUGUGAAAGAUAAAACUAGAUAGGUGGGAAACAAACAAGAUUUUACAAGAUUGUGAAUUCAAGCUUACUUAAAAUUUCAAAAAAAAUUA